rnacentral:rRNA from 1 species
GACGAACCGUGCGAACGUUAUUCGGAAUCACUGGGCUUAAAGCGCGUGUAGGCGGGACGGCACGUCGGCCGCUGAAAGCCCCCGGCUCAACCGGGGAACGGGCGCCGAUACGACCGCCCUCGAGGGACGUAGGGGGACCUGGAACUUCCGGUGGAGCGGUGAAAUGCGUUGAGAUCGGAAGGAACGCCCGUGGCGAAAGCGAGGUCCUGGACGUCCGCUGACGCUGAGACGCGAAAGCCAGGGGAGCGAACGGG